rnacentral:rRNA from 1 species
GACGAACGCUGGCGGCGUGCUUAACACAUGCAAGUCGAACGGAAAGGCCCUGCUUUUGUGGGGUGCUCGAGUGGCGAACGGGUGAGUAACACGUGAGUAACCUUCCCUUGACUUUGGGAUAACUUCAGGAAACUGGGGCUAAUACCGGAUAGGAGCUCCUGCUGCAUGGUGGGGGUUGGAAAUUUUCGGCGGUUGGGGAUGGACUCGCGGCUUAUCAGCUUGUUGGUGGGGUAGUGGCUUACCAAGGCUUUGACGGGUAGCCGGCCUGAGAGGGUGACCGGCCACAUUGGGACUGAGAUACGGCCCAGACUCCUACGGGAGGCAGCAGUGGGGAAUAUUGCACAAUGGGCGGAAGCCUGAUGCAGCAACGCCGCGUGCGGGAUGACGGCCUUCGGGGUGUAAACCGCUUUCGCCUGUGACGAAGCGUGAGUGACGGUAAUGGGUAAAGAAGCACCGGCUAACUACGUG